rnacentral:rRNA from 1 species
UACGUAGGGUGCAAGCGUUGUCCGGAAUUAUUGGGCGUAAAGAGCUCGUAGGCGGUCUGUCGCGUCGGCUGUGAAAACUCGGGGCUCAACCCCGAGCCUGCAGUCGAUACGGGCAGACUAGAGUGCUGUAGGGGAGACUGGAAUUCCUGGUGUAGCGGUGAAAUGCGCAGAUAUCAGGAGGAACACCGAUGGCGAAGGCAGGUCUCUGGGCCGAUACUGACGCUGAGGAGCGAAAGCGUGGGGAGCGAACAGG